rnacentral:rRNA from 1 species
GACGAACGCUGGCGGCGUGCCUAAUACAUGCAAGUCGAGCGGACCUCUUCGGAGGUCAGCGGCGGACGGGUGAGUAACACGUGGGCAACCUGCCUGUAAGACUGGGAUAACACCGGGAAACCGGUGCUAAUACCGGAUAAUCCUUUUCUUCACAUGGGGAAAAGCUGAAAGACGGUUUCGGCUGUCACUUACAGAUGGGCCCUCGGCGCAUUAGCUAGUUGGGGAGGUAACGGCUCACCAAGGCGACGAUGCGUAGCCGACCUGAGAGGGUGAUCGGCCACACUGGGACUGAGACACGGCCCAGACUCCUACGGGAGGCAGCAGUAGGGAAUCUUCCGCAAUGGACGAAAGUCUGACGGAGCAACGCCGCGUGAGCGAAGAAGGCCUUCGGGUCGUAAAGCUCUGUUGUCAGGGAAGAACACGUACCGGAGUAACUGCCGGUACCUUGACGGUACCUGACCAGAAAGCCACGGCUAACUACGUGCCAGCCGCCGCCGUAA